UUUUACUCGGAUUCUUUGAUAUAUAAUAUGGUAGAUGUUUUUAGAGAAGGAUGAAGAUAAAUAGGACACCUUUCCUCAUAUUUGAAAUCAACAGGAAAAUGCUUAAGAAUCAGCCUUUUACUUUCAUGUAACAUAUAACAGAAAGCUAAAUUUUGUUGACUAGAGUAAUUUGCUGCAUUCAUUUUCCAUUAAAUGAAUGGGGACCCACUGUUUUCUUCAUCAGCAUGCUCUUGUAUCAGAACACUGCCUCCAGAGAGGAUAAGCCUCAUGCUUUCAAGUGUGAAGAUUGCUCAAAGUUUAUAUCUGAGGAUUUGGAAACUGUUAUGCCUCCUGGUGAUUCCACCGAUAUAUUAGUUCUUGAUCCUGUUUGCUUCACAUCUGCUAAUGUUCUUGAUCCUGAUGAAUUGAAAAGACUCCUGAAGGAAGUUGAGUACUUGGAACAUACUGAAGCUAACCUCAAAGGAACUAACCUCAAUAUCUAUGGAAAGAAGGAAUUUUUCUUUGGCUGCCACAGACACCAGACACAUUUAUUUUAUAGUUCAGAAGCUUGCGUAUGUUUGGAAGCAAGUAAAAAAACUCUGAGGAGGAAAGGGAUGAUUUGGAAGCAAGAGCAGCUGAUUAUUAAUUUAUCAUCUUUGAAGACUCAAUCUGAAUGAAUAGCUGCAGCAAGAGUUUCAUGAGUGUUGUGAAGAUAUCUACAAGCAAAGGCAGUUUCAAAAGGAAAGCAUUUAAAUGUUUUUAUGGGGCUAUAGUAGGGUAAUCAUAUCAGUUCUACAAAUAUUUACUUAUAAAUGUCAGAAAAGACCAUUUAAUUCUUCAGCAAAUCAUAAAAAUUUCAUAAGAGCUAAUCUCAAAACCCAUUAAGAAUUCACAUAAGUGAAUGCUCAUUUCAGUGUUCUUGUUGUAAAGAAUUUAGUCAGAAAUGCCACCUGCAGCUGCAUUUCCGACACAAAGUAUUUGAAUUUAUCUUGUUUAUCUUAAAAAGCUUUUGGUGUAGUAGUUUGAAAAUGAUAAUGUAUUUUGUUCUUUAAUUAUUCUUUAAUUUGUAAUUUCACAAACAAUUCAGUAGUAUAGUUUCCAAAUUAAGCAUGCAUUAUAUUCUAAAAUUUUAAUCUUGUAUAUGAAAUGUGUUUAUUUUUUGUUUUGUAGUAUUACAUAUUUAAAUUCUUAAACAAACGUGUGAAACUUUAAUUCUGUAUCAGACUAAUAGAAAUAAAAUGUUAUACUGAAA